rnacentral:sRNA from 1 species
AUUUAUCAAAUCCUGUACAGUGCAAUAUGGAUGGGCAAACGUGGAUGUUGUUACUAAUUGUUUUUACAUUCAAAGGGAAUAGUGAAUUAUCGCACAGAAAUACCCUAUGCCCUAGUGUUUGCAUAUGUGACGGGAAAACAGCGAUUUGCAAAGGCCACGAUGGCUCUCAUCUACGAUAUAUUCCACCAUUACCUGAAAACAUAACAAGCCUUGUAUUCAAUUCAAAUGACUUGGGAUAUAUGGGAGAAAAAGCAUUCAAUAAUUUAUCGAACCUACAUUUGACGAGGCUUGACUUGAGACGAAGUCGCAUCGGCUUCAUUCAUAAAAAAGGCCUUCAGACUGAUUCCUCAUCUACAGUUUCUCGACUUAAGUGAAAACAAAUUCUUUCGUUCCAGAAAACUACACAAUACAUUUACGGAUUGCAAAAUAGUUCUUUGAGAGAAAUUCGUCUAAUAGAUAUGUGGUAUAGUAAUUUAUCAAACAACUUUUUCAGUUAUCUUAAUAACACGUCUUUAGAACGAAUCUUCUUUGACAAUAAUCGUAUCAUAGCUAGCAAUAUUGGUGAUGUUCUGUCUCCAUUGUCUAAACAUUUGCGAGAAAUAUCUUUAAAAGCAACCUAAUUUCAAAGUUUUCGUUGAACAUUAUUAUGCCUAAAUUGGAGAUUAUUGUUUUGAGCAAAAACAAACUAUUGUCCGUUCCAAACUUUUGUUAUAGACAUGAUCACAAACCACGUUUGCCUAAUCUAAAAGUUCUGGAUCUAAGCAACAAUCUAAUAUCUGUCGUCAAAAGAAGCACAUUCUAUAGACAAUGCUUUCCACGGCUUCAAAACCUGUCUCUUGGAUUUAAUAAGAUUAAAACCUUAGACAAAAAUUUCAUCAGUCAUAUACCCUUCAUUGAUUACUUAUCAAUAGAAAAUCUGGAUCCCAAUUUAACUCUUAAUGAAUAUGCUUUAAACAGUUCUUCGUUGCAAUACUUGUACAUGGGAAAUAAAUUCAACGUUCUGAAAUAUAGAAGAACCUUUUUCUAUUACACUAGAAAGCUGAGGAUUCUAGAUAUGACUGGAGUACAAUUUGUUUCAUCUCGUAAACAGGAAGAGAAAAUAUUUCAGCUAUUUCAGCCUCUGACGCGUCUAGAAGAAUUGAUAUUGAACAAAACAUCCUUGUCAACGUUUCCAUCAUCCCUUUUCCAGCUCCUGCCAAAUUUAACAAAACUCUACUUUGAUGAUUGUGGUUUCAACGAUACCCACUUAAAAAUAUAUUUGCCUCUGUGUCUUUAAAGGUUCUCGUGCUAGACAAUUACUUGAUAACCAGUUUAAAUGUGACAAAUAUUCCCACUAAGAUUGAAAAAAUAAGUUUGAAAGGCAAUCCUUUCCUUUGUUCUUGUGAACUAGUUUGGUUUCGAAAUUGGAUAGAAGCCAAAUCCGAUCAUCUUCUAGGAUGGCCAAAUGACUAUAAAUGCUAUCUGCCACAAGAAUGGAAAAACAAAUCCCUUAAUGAUUUUCACCUGAAUUACCUUUUCUGCCAUCCCAUUAAUCCAUACAUCAUCAUGGCUAUUUCCAUUUCCUUUGCAGUCCUUGUCAUUGCUACCGUAUUUUGUGUUCUAUACAAGAAACGCUGGCACAUCAAGUAUUACUUGUACCUCUUGCGCGCUAAAAAGCGUGGAUAUGAAGUUCUUGGGAGUGAUGAUUUUGCCUAUGAUGUAUUCGUAGCUUAUAAUUCGGACGACAGAAUCUGGGUCAUUUCAGAAAUGAUACCCAGAUUGGAGAACAAAGAACAUCUGAAACUGUGUUUACAUGACAGGGAUUUUCAGGCAGGAAAACUUAUUGUAGACAACAUCACUGACGCCAUGCACAGAAGUAGAAAGAUUCUAAUCAUCCUCUCUAACAGUUUCGCCCAAAGCCAUUGGUGUCGGUUCGAAACUAUAAUGGCGCAGUUACUUUCGAUGAAUCAAGGGGAAAAUAUGGUGGUUAUUGUCGUUUUGGAAAAUAUUCUGACCAAAAAUAUGAACAACUCUCUACACUUGCUUUUAAAAUCUACCACAUUCAUAGAAUAGACAAACGAAAAAACAGCGAAGGAGAUGUUCUGGGAUAGAUUAGUAUCUGCGUUAAAACUAUAAUGUAAAAAAGGAUAUUGUGUAUACUUAAUUUUACUUAGGAUAAUAAACACAUUUCAAAG